UGUCACAACUAGAAUACUUCAAAUUUCAUCUUUCCGUAUCAAACCGGCCCAUGAAAGGUAAUUUUAACUAUUAAUACUAGAAGAUUGUUGAUUACACCGAAAGAUUUGUUAUCACACACUUAAAAAUGAAAAAUAAAAAAUAAAAAAAUCAGCGGUAGUUAACUACAAUUCAUUACAAAAUAAAAAUUAAACAAACAAAUGAAAGUUAAUUGCCACCGGAGGUAUUAAAGGUCAUUUUCAGGUAUAUGAUUAUAAUCUUUGAAGUUUAAAGUGCAAUCUUCUUAAUAUCAAGAGUAUUGAAAACAAAUCUCGGAUGAGAAAAAAAUGGUCUGAUCCAAAAUAGUUUCAAGAUUGCAUGGCGCCAUGUAUUUUACAAGCUCAUGAUUCAAUAUUGAGAUAGAGAAAAAAAUCAUGAUAAAAUUUAGGGUAAAUACCUAUUUUCAUCUCUGAAAUAUUAACAAAUUCCGGUUUUAGUCACUGUAAAAAAAAAGAUUUAGAUUUUGUCCCUGUAAUUUCAGAUUCUUUCACUUUUGGUCCUUCAUUUCACCACAUCAGCAGAAUCUGCAUACAUAGCACGUAAAAUGAGGGAUCAAAAGUGGAGUGAUCUGAAAUUACAGGGACCAAAAGUGGGAGGAAUAUGAAAUUAUAUUGACGUAAUUUAUGCAGAUUCUACUGACGUGAUAAAAGGAGGGACCAAAAGUGGAAGAAUCUGAAAUACAGGGACAUAAUCUAAAUAUUUUUUUUACAGGGACUAAAACCGUAAUUCGCUAAUAUUACAUAGACGAAAAGAGGUAUUUACCCUAAAAUUUAUUAAAAUGAUAUGAAUCAUUUCAUCUUAUUGAAUUUGAAUUACAAAGGAGUAUUUGUAGAAGCAAAUACAAGUACACCAAAGAAAUCAUAGAUCUUAUUCUACUAAAAUAUUGACUUCUCAAUGGCUAGAUUCGAAGAGGGUCUUAUCAUUUGUAUCUUCAUCAUUUGAACUUUAAUCAUUCAACAAUAACAAUGUUCAUACAUACACGUUGCAACAUAAGGAGCAGUACAAUUUGAAUUUCUACAAUCGAAAUCAAAAUUGCAGGGGUCGCGAAAUGCUAUGAGAAAAAACAAUACAAAAAUUAUGGUGUAUCACUGAAAUUGGAAGAAAGAUUAUAUAUAAGAUAAAAAGAGAAAAUUGUAUGCAGAAAAAGACUUACCAGUGACAUUAAUUGCAAAAAGAAAAAGAAAGAGGAUCAUUGCAUGCACAAACUUCAUAAUUUUAGCCAUAGUUUUUACAUCCCUUCAAAAAAAAAAGCCAUAGUUUUUACAUGUGCAUGUUACAAAGAGAGCUUUAUUUGAUUUUUUUAUAAUGUAAAAUAAUUAUUCUACUUCAAUCAAAUAGUUUUAUUUUUUGUUUUACAUUUCCAGAGUUGCAAGAAACAUAAUUAAU
rnacentral:lncRNA from 1 species